UACGAAGGGGGCUAGCGUUGUCCGGAAUUAUUGGGCGUAAAGAGCUCGUAGGCGGUUUGUCGCGUCUGCUGUGAAAGCCCGGGGCUCAACCCCGGGUCUGCAGUGGGUACGGGCAGACUGGAGUGCAGUAGGGGAGACUGGUAUUCCUGGUGUAGCGGUGAAAUGCGCAGAUAUCAGGAGGAACACCGAUGGCGAAGGCAGGUCUCUGGGCUGUAACUGACGCUGAGGAGCGAAAGCAUGGGGAGCGAACAGG
rnacentral:rRNA from 1 species